GUUGGUGUUCUUCUUCUUCGUCGUCGCUGGAGGAAUCGGUUGCGUCUGGGUCGGUGACGGAGAUACGCAGAAUCCUUGGUUGUUGGUGGAAAUCGGGUACGAUUCUCGUCGUGUUGGUUUUGUGCUCUGUGAAUUUGAUUCUCGGGAGAAUGAUUUUCUUCUCCGUUUCCAUUUCCUUAUUGCUCUCUCUCUCUCACUGUUGUUUAGACUGUGACUAUGUAUGUGUGUGUGUGGUUAUAUCAGAGAGACUGUGAAAGCAAUUGAAAGCAAAAAGAAGAAAAGGAAAGAGACAAAGAAUAAAGAAGAAGAAACUUGAACAACAAGAGAAAAAAGAGUGAUGCUCCUCUGCAAAAAAGUUUUAUCAAAGGACGAG
rnacentral:lncRNA from 1 species